CAGGAUUGGCUGGGGGAGGGAAGCCCGGGGGAGGGAAUUGGGAUGGGCCGCGGGGGAGCAGGGUCCAGACUGUCACCCGCUGCUCUCUCCCUCUCCAAGGCUCAGGGGAGGAGCAUCGAAAGGGCUCAGAGUCAGCGGGGUAAUCUGAGGAUGAGUCCUCCUGCAGAGGAGCGGAACACCAGACGCUCUGCAAAGCCCGCGGUGUCCGAGCCAGGCGGGGAGAGGGUCUCAGAGGUCUCCCCAGCUCCAGGGAUGAGGAGGGAGCUGGGUAUUCUGGCUACCCUGGGUCACCUGCUGGGAGGCCCUUUCCUUCGUGAGAACCAAGCUGACCUAUUCCGCCGGGAUAUGGAGGCCCAUGUGCUUCCCUGACAGCCAACCAUUCCGUGGAGGAGGGAGAGAGGCCCUAGCGUCCG
rnacentral:lncRNA from 1 species